GACUGUAAGGUACCAGAAGAUAGGCUUGGGUUUCCUAUUCCUGUGGUUUUCUCCCAAACUGCCUGCACUACCCAGGGUGAUCUGCUGGUGUUCCGUGCUGGACAAAUUGGCACAGGCCCAGUGAAUGGAGUCCCUGGAGGGCCACAGUCAGAGAAGAAUCUAGCCUGGUGUGGCUGUGUGAGUCACACGGCAGUGUGGGGAGCCUGAGGUUUGGGCCACUAGGGGAGAGAUCGCCAGCCGUCCCGUACCCAAAGCUUGUGCCUCAUCUGUCCUUUGAAAUUGAGGCAGACAAAUGGUGACAAGGACAAAUCUUGGAAGAAGCUCUUGGUGUUGUUGGGGCACUAUUACCCUGCACGAGGGAGGUAGACUCAUCCAAGCCAUGUGUAAAUGCUGAUUCUAGGAAGUCAGGAGCCCAAGCUGGAAGCCCAAAUCCACCAAGUAUUAGCCUUGAACAAAUAUCAGUGCUCUUCAUCUGUAAAAUAGAGGAGUUAGAAGCAAACAGGUGUCUUGAAAAGAUGGAGCCAGAAGAUUGGGGAAUAGCUGUGGCUCUGCUGCUAUUAGUCACGUGACUGGGCAAGUAAUUCAAGGGGUUGAAGCUGCUAUAUUACAGGCACUCUGCCAGAUGCUGUGAACACAGUGGUGUCCUGGCCACCAUGGCUGACCUGGCCCAGGCCUUCAGGUAUUUCAGAGUCUACUGAAAACUUUGUUCUCCUCAUUCCAAGCUUUCCUACUUAUGUGACUUACACCAGACUACUUAACCUCGGUGAACCUCAGUUUUUACAUCUGUGAGGUGGGGGAACAAUUAGAGAAGAUAA